CCUACGGGUGGCAGCAGUGGGGAAUAUUGGACAAUGGGCGAAAGCCUGAUCCAGCCAUGCCGCGUGUGUGAAGAAGGCCUUCGGGUUGUAAAGCACUUUCAGUGGGGAAGAAAGCCUUGGGGCUAAUACCCUCGAGGAAGGACAUCACCCACAGAAGAAGCACCGGCUAACUCCGUGCCAGCAACCGCGGUAAUACGGAGGGUGCGAGCGUUAAUCGGAAUUACUGGGCGUAAAGCGCGCGUAGGCGGUCUGAUAAGCCGGUUGUGAAAGCCCCGGGCUCAACCUGGGAACGGCAUCCGGAACUGUCAGGCUAGAGUGCAGGAGAGGAAGGUAGAAUUCCCGGUGUAGCAGUGAAAUGCGUAGAGAUCGGGAGGAAUACCAGUGGCGAAGGCGGCCUUCUGGACUGACACUGACGCUGAGGUGCGAAAGCGUGGGUAGCAAACAGGAUUAGAUACCCUGGUAGUC
rnacentral:rRNA from 1 species